UUUCUGUUAAUUGUUAUUAGCAUGAUUAAUUGAUGUUAUUAGUAUGAUUAAUUAAUGUUAUUAGCAUGAUUAAUUGAUGUUAAUUACCCUAGAAUGAUUUUAUGGUGGUAUAUAAAUUUCAUGAUUAUAUGUAAAUGUUGAUUUGUAUGAAAAACAUGUCUAAGUAUUGAUUUCCUAUAUUUAUUGUGUUGUUAAAUUGCUAGAAGUGAUGUAUGCAAACAUGUAUGAUCAUCCUUGAAAUUAUGAUAAAGAAUGUUUUAUUGUAUUAUAUGAAAAUCUUUUAUUCCAUAAUGUUGUAGGCAUGUGACAUACAUGCAUGUCAUUGGGCAAUGAAGGAAGGGAAAUGUUUUGAAAUGAAUAAUUAAAAGGGGUUUUGGAAAACCUAUUUGAGAAAAGGAUUUUGGUGAAAAACCCGGACGCCAAGGGGGUUGUAACGACCCGAACCCGAGGGUCCGAAUCACUAAGCGGGUCCUUACCCGAACCCGAGGUCAACACAAUACAUAAUAUAUGUGUCAUCUUAGGAUUUAUAUAUAAUAAUAAUAAAUAAAUAAAUAAAUAAAUAAUUAAAUAAUAAAAUGAGAUCAUAGCUACAAAGUAUGUCAAAACGGUCUACUAACCCAUCGAACCCUGUGGAGGAGCGUCGUCCGCCACUUUCCAUCCGUGUCCUGAAAAAUGUUAAAUAUAGGGGGUGAGCAAAUUGCUCAAUAGGUGAUGCCUAAGACACACCUCUUGUGACCCCGUAAAUCCAAAUAAUGAAUAGGACAAUUGGGAGAGGGGUCAUUCUAAGCCGGGGAAAAUACCAUAUCAAUUCCAAGUUCAAAAUGAGUAAAUGUCGUGCCAUGAAUGCAAUGCCAUGCAUGUCACUCUCCAUUUUCAAAAAACAUCCAUCACUUUACAAACUGUUAAUAUAACUCGUCCUUUGGUGACUCCGCAGCGACACGAGAGAAGGAUUGGCUACUGUUUUUGACCCUUGGUACCUCCACGGCGUCAUUUGGGGCCUAGAUAGCUCAACCACGUUAGGGCAAUCUCCCUAAUUUCCUCUAGGCUAUAUUAACACACCAACUCCUUAGUGACUCCGCAGUGACCGGGUUUUCACAAAAUCACUUUAAUCAAAACAUUUCCCCAAAAAUCUUUUUUUUUUCAUUUGUUUCAAAUCAUUUCAAACAAUUCGCCCAUUUCUUUCAUGCCCAAUGCUAUGAAUGCAUGCCACAUAUUUUUCCAACAGUAUGAAAAUAGAGGAAAUUUAUACAUCACAAUUUAACAUGUUUCUUCAUAGCAAUUUCUAGGAAAGUGAUAAAUACUAUGGCAUGUAAAUCAAUGUUUUGGCAUGCUCCUCAUAAUAUCAUCAACACAUAUAGGCAUAGAUUUUCUAAUACAACAAUCAUGUAAUUUUCAAGGCAAUCGAUUUAAAUAAAGCAUGCUUUUCAUACAAAUUUAAUUAUUUCACAUGAUAACAUAUUUCAUCUACAUAAAUCAAAUUACUUUAAAUUACAAUUAACACAAUUUAGCAUGUUAGGACAUACAAGUAAAAUUAACUCACUAAGGUGCAACAUUGUAUGGAUUAGGGACCCCUACCUCUAAUUGGAUGAAAAGCCCCAAAUUUUUCUCAAACCCUAGGAUCUUGGGAUCCCCCAAAUGUAGAUUGGCUCCGAUCAACUCGAAGCCCUCGACGCGCUCUUUAAUUUGACGCAAACGGCACUCAAAAUCUCCAAUUGAUGAGAGAAGGAUCUAAAGUUGAAGUUGUAGAAAAAGAAAAAGAAAAAUGGAGAAUUGGGAGGGAGAGAGAGAAACCUGCGGGAGAGAUAGAGAAAACUGGGAGCAAGGGUGUGGUCUCAUGACCACUUAAAAAUGGUGGUGGGUCCCACCAAUAUCUUUUCAUUUUUCCUUUUUCUUUUAUUCUUAUUUUACACCACAUACAUAUAUGCAUACACAUUUAAUUUACAACCACUUAAAACACAAUAAAUAAAAAUAAAUAUGAUGCAAAUGGACCCAACUAAAACUCCGGAAGCAACAGUUUCGGUAACGGGUCCCACACAGGUCCGUCCGGUCCGAAAAAUUGAAAAAAAACCAAAAUGAUCACCCUCGCAUUUCAAAGAGUCUUGAACUCAAUGAAAUACCCCAGACAACUCUCGGACAUAACUGACACACUCCACAGUGUCUGGUACGAAAAGGGCAAAAGACGAAAAUACCCCUGCAACGACAAAAUUCCAGAAAAAUAAAUCAGACACGUCACAGGGGUACCAAGAGUUCGUGGCGUUAAUAUAGCCUAGAGAGAACUAGGGAGAUCACCCUAGCGUGGUUGAGCCAACUGGGCCCCAAAUGACACCGUUGGGUUACCAAGGGUCAGGGACAGUGGCCAAUCCUUCUCUCGUGUCGCCAAGGGGGUACCGAGGGACGGGUUACGUUAACGGUUUGAAAAGUGAAGUUUUUGUAGUGAAUUUGAAAAUGGGGAGUGACAUGCAUAGCAUUGCAUUCAUGGCAUGGAAAUUUGUUAGUUUUGAACUUGAGAAAUUUAUGUCGUAUUUUUCUCGGUUUAGAAUGAUCUCUAUUCUUUAUCCCUAUUCAAUAUUUGGAUUCACGGGGCUAUAAGAGGUGUGUCUUAGGCGCCGCCUACUGAGCAAAUUGCUCACCCUAUUAUUUAAUAUUUUUAGGACACGGAAAAGAAGUGGCAUAUGACUUUCCACCACAGGCCUAGCAUGGAUUAAAUAAUCGUUUUUUGUUAUUUUUGUAUCUAAGUUUCACUAUUUUUUGUAAAACUUAACAUAAUGUAUUUUGUACGAAGACUUAUGGACUCUUAUUAUUGUAAUUAUAUCUAUGGGCUGUAACUUCUAUAUAAGUUGUCUAAAUGUUGUAAAGCAUGGACAUUUGAUCUUAACCUUGUAUUUUGGGACUGUAAUUAUGAUAUUUGGAUGAAAUGGUAUGUGGUUGUUCCACCACGGGAUGAACUAAGUUAAGGCAUAAUGAAUGGAGGAAAGAGAUGCUGGAAUAUAAUAUUUUGCAUUGUGUGUUGGGACAGUUUGGAUAAGUCUAGAAGGCCCGAGUGAGGCUAUUGCAUAUUUUUUUAUGCAUCUAAGCAGAUUGUUGUAGGCCCCUUUUUAGCAGAGGUCAUGCCGAAAUUUUUAUUUUUAUUAUUAUUUUAUUAUUAUUUUAUUAUUAUUAUUUUUUAUAAUUAGUAUCAUUUUAGGGUCGUUACAGGAGGAGUGUUACUUUUCUUGAGAAAUGAAGAUUCCUAUGGAUGUUUGAUGUAUUUGAAGCCAUGUGACAUGAUUGUCCAAACUGAUUACUAUGGACUGUCACAACCCUAGCGUAUAAUAGUGCUAACACCAUGGGAUGUAGAAAUGUCAGGUGGUUGAUCACAUUCCAAUUUAAUUCGAGAAUGAUUGAAUGAUAGAUUAGUGUAAUCUAAAUUACUUGAGAGUAAAUACUAGACUUGAAAUAUCUCAAACUCAUUUAUACUGCCAUAGUGCCAUUAUUAUCUGAACUAAUAUUUAACAGAACUGAGUGAGUUCUUAUGCUUCUUAAGAAUGCUAACCGCUUUAACAGAACAUUUUAUGUCAUUGGGUCAGAGUAUGCAUUCUGCAUCGCGUGUGACGAGGCGUAUCAUUUUAUAACAUUCAUUAGGAAGCUCCGUAAGAAUGGAGUUUUGGAGUGUAAAGCCCUUUUCAUGUUCCGUGUCACCAACAAAUUCAUAACCAUUUAGCACCAACAAGAAGAAAUCACCCGAAUGUCAGAGAAGGUUGUUACCUUUGACAGCAUGAGGCUCUUAUCUGAUGAUUCCAUCAAAUCGCUUGCUCUAGACGCCCUUAACGUCACAAAUCAAUUCCUACCCAACACCGUCGUAUCCUUAGCUCAUCAGAUUUCUACAUACCUCAUCUCUCGAUUUUGCUUUAGCCCCAAAAAUCUUCUUCGCCGCAAUUUGCCCAGAAUCGUCAUAGUCGUUGACGUUGAUCGAAGUCGAACGGCCUAUUAUGGCUUCUGCACUACUUCAUCUUCUGAUAAUCCCAUUCCGUCGCCGUUGUUUCCUCUGCCUUCGCCUACGUGAUUUUUGCCAGAUGAUGAAUUAGAUGAAGAUCUUUACUACAAUUGCUCACGAUACUUAUGAAGAUCCGAUAUAUAAUUGGGAUGACGAUCCAGAUCCAGACCUCAUAAACAUUGUGUGUCAGCUAAGGAACAAUUUAGAUGAAAGAGGGAGGUAUCCACUGAAACCGAUUGCGACUGACGAACCGGUAGGCUUAUUCGAAGUGGAUCCCGAGAAAGACCACGUCUGGGUGCGGACUAAGGACGAUGAUCGAUCAACCGCCGUGGCGGUGGCGGUUGGUGUGUGCCCUAUAUGUCUGGAUGUAAUGUUAACGGAGACGGAGGAGGACAUCGUGGUUGAGACUUGUUGCUUGCAUGUAUGUCACAAGCGCUGCAUUUCACGCUGGUUGUCCAAAUCCAGUUCCUACCCCACCUGUCGUCUUCAGCUUUGAUCAUGAUCUUAUUGGACAACAUGCAAUCUUUGCCCCUAAUAACAAUAAUCAAUGAAGUCAUGAUUCAUAUGCAAAGCCUACAAUGCCUGCAACUCAAUGUGCAAAGUGGAUCUUCUAUUUUCAAAGAUAUAAUAUUUUGUGGAGUUCAAACUUUUCAAUUAGGCAAGCCUCAUCUAUAAGGAAAAAUCAAUAUCUAAAUAAAGAGCAGAGAUAUGGUGAUACACUGAUUAAGGACAGGAAGAGAGUAUGUUACUUAUGCUGUUUUUUCGUGCAGCAAAAAACCCUGCCAACUUCAACAAUUUAUCUUCUUUGGAUGUUUUAUCAAGUGUCAGGGCACUGCUGUCGAGUUUCAGUUAAUGCCAAAUGGUCUGGUAUUUUUCAGCAUCAAAGUCAGAAAGCAGACACAAAAUUGUGGAGGAGGCCAAUUCUUCAGAUAAUGAGCCUAUGUUGCAUGGCCACAAGGUCCUUCCAGUAGCCUGAACAGUAUGUCUUUGAUUGUUAAAUCUGAAUCCUCAAAGAAUAUUACUGCUGGAUAAGCUCUCUCAUAUUUUCAGUAUAUACCAGAGAAGUGAUGCUAGCUGACCAAGUAGAAGAUAAGACUGACUGAAUCAAACUUCGUCAUCCAUCUGCUGUUAGUCAUCCAAGUGUAUGAAUUUAGGGUUGGGCUUGGGGUUUGUUAAAAUGGCAAUAAUUAUGGGGAUGCACAUUGAAUUGGUCAGUUGGGCGAGAAACUAGAGUUGUUAGGUUAUUUUCAUUACUCGAUCGACUGGAAAGGUGACAAAGUAGGCACCAAGAUGUCUAAAGCAGAAAGCAGAGUGCAGUGGUUGAGGUUUGUUAAAAUGGAAAUAAUUACUGUUGUUAUGGUUGUGUCUCUGGAACGAAUUGCUAAAAUUAUUAAAACCUGGUCUGAUGAGUCUGUUAUCAUAUUUCGUUCUGCAAGGAGGUGGAGGUGUUCUCUUGCUGCAAGGCUCUUGGGAGGGCAUGCCUAAAAGCAAUCUGAUAGUACUGCAUGUCUGAAGACCAGGUGACAUUGAAAGUUUUGUGUUUUCCGAGUACGUUUGUUGUAUUUUUUUAUUUUAUUUCGCACAUAACUUUGGUCAUUCAUUAUCUUGUUUGGUAAUGCAUUUUGAAAGCUAUGUUUGUCUGUCUGUC